UCCUGGAGGAGAGCAGGCCAGGGGGAUCGAAUAGCAGCCUUCACGUCCCUCCAGGGGGGCUGCAAAGAGGACAGAGCUGGACUGGUCUCAAAGGGGGACAGACAGGACAAGGAGCAAUGGGCUCCAGU